CGCCCCUGCCACUGGGCCAUGGAGACUGUGGCACAGUAGACUGUAGUGUGAGGCUCGCGGGGGCAGUGGCCAUGGAGGCCGUGCUGAACGAGCUGGUGUCUGUGGAGGACCUGCUGAGCUGCUGCCCAAAGGGAGCAAGGAGGAACAGCGGGAUUACGUCUUCUACCUGGCCGUGGGGAACUACCGGCUCAAGGAAUACGAGAAGGCCUUAAAGUACGUCCGCGGGUUGCUGCAGACAGAGCCCCAGAACAACCAGGCCAAGGAACUGGAGCGGCUCAUUGACAAGGCCAUGAAGAAAGAUGGACUCGUGGGCAUGGCCAUCGUGGGAGGCAUGGCCCUGGGUGUGGCGGGACUGGCCGGACUCAUCGGACUUGCUGUGUCCAAGUCCAAAUCCUGAAGGAGACGCGGGAGCCCACGGAGAACGCUCCAGGAGGGCCUGUCCAUCCUCGCUGUCCUUUCCCUGUUCUCCCCCUGCCCCCCGUCUCUAUCCUCUGUGGCCUUCAGCUAAUUUCUGCUCCCCUGAGAUUCGUCCUUCAGCCCCAUCAUGUGCUUUGGGAUGAGUGUAAAUAAAACGGGGCUGUGGCUUGGGAACCCCCGUGUCUGCGUUGAGGGGAGGGGUGGGUUCUGAACGCUGGGCACAGGGGGCGGAGACGUCACUCCUGGUCCUCUCCUGCCCCUGCCCUCCAGGUUGGCACGGGGUUCUUUGUCCACCCCGCAGCCCAGAGCCCACACCCUUCCUUCCUCC
rnacentral:lncRNA from 1 species